UACGUAGGGGGCAAGCGUUGUCCGGAAUCAUUGGGCGUAAAGCGCGUGUAGGCGGUUCGAUAAGUCUGCUGUGAAAGUCCAGGGCUCAACCCUGGGAUGCCGGUGGAUACUGUCGGGCUAGAGUGCGGAAGAGGCGAGUGGAAUUCCUGGUGUAGCGGUGAAAUGCGCAGAUAUCAGGAGGAACACCAAUUGCGAAGGCAGCUCGCUGGGACGUUAACUGACGCUGGAGACGCGAAAGCGUGGGGAGCAAACAGG
rnacentral:rRNA from 1 species